rnacentral:misc_RNA from 1 species
UUAUCACUAAUCAAGCACGGCUUGCUGUUGGACCUCAUGUCGUUAAAAAGACAGGCCCCAAAGAUAAUGACGGUGUCAGUUGGACCCCUAGAUGCAACGAGCUUUAACUAGCACGCAUUAUAGUGGCCUGUUGACCCGGUCUUUUUAACCAAUUUCUUAAGGUUGACCUCGGAUCAGGUAGGAAUACCCGCUGAACUUAA